rnacentral:rRNA from 1 species
UACAGAGGGGGCAAGCGUUAUUCGGAAUUAUUGGGCGUAAAGGGCGCGUAGGCGGCUUUGCAAGUGACGGGUGAAAUCCCACGGCUUAACCGUGGAACUGCCUGUCAGACUGCAUGGCUUGAGACCAGGAGAGGUGAGUGGAAUUCCCAGUGUAGCGGUGAAAUGCGUAGAUAUUCGGAAGAACACCAGUGGCGAAGGCGGCUCACUGGACCGGCAUUGACGCUGAGGUGCGAAAGCGUGGGGAGCAAACAGG